GCUGCUAGAUGGUGAAUCAAAACCGUUUGGGUCUUGGUCCCCAUCAACCAGCAA
rnacentral:pre_miRNA from 1 species